UACGUAGGGGGCAAGCGUUGUCCGGAAUCAUUGGGCGUAAAGAGCGUGUAGGCGGCCAGAUAAGUCCGCUGUGAAAUCUCGAGGCUCAACUUCGAGCUGUCGGUGGAAACUGUCUGGCUAGAGUCCGGAAGAGGAGAAUGGAAUUCCUGGUGUAGCGGUGAAAUGCGCAGAUAUCAGGAAGAACACCGGUGGCGAAGGCGGCGACCUGGUCCGAUACUGACGCUGAGGCGCGAAAGCGUGGGGAGCAAACAGG
rnacentral:rRNA from 1 species